rnacentral:rRNA from 1 species
AUUGAACGCUGGCGGCAGGCUUAACACAUGCAAGUCGAGCGGAGAUGAGGUGCUUGCACCUUAUCUUAGCGGCGGACGGGUGAGUAAUGCUUAGGAAUCUGCCUAUUAGUGGGGGACAACAUUCCGAAAGGAAUGCUAAUACCGCAUACGUCCUAAGGGAGAAAGCAGGGGAUCUUCGGCCCUUGCGCUAAUAGAUGAGCCUAAGUCGGAUUAGCUAGUUGGUGGGGUAAAGGCCUACCAAGGCGGCGAUCUGUAGCGGGUCUGAGAGGAUGAUCCGCCACACUGGGACUGAGACACGGCCCAGACUCCUACGGGAGGCAGCAGUGGGGAAUAUUGGACAAUGGGGGGAACCCUGAUCCAGCCAUGCCGCGUGUGUGAAGAAGGCCUUAUGGUUGUAAAGCACUUUAAGCGAGGAGGAGGCUACUGAGACUAAUACUCUUGGAUAGUGGACGUUACUCGCAGAAUAAGCACCGGCUAACUCUGUGCCAGCCGCCGCCCGUAAGAC